CCUACGGGUGGCAGCAGUGGGGGAUAUUGCACAAUGGGCGAAAGCCUGAUGCAGCAACGCCGCGUGGGCGAUGAAGGCCUUCGGGUCGUAAAGCUCUGUCCUCAAGGAAGAUAAUGACGGUACUUGAGGAAGAAGCCCCGGCUAACUACGUGCCAGCAGCCGCGGUAAUACGUAGGGGGCUAGCGUUAUCCGGAAUUACUGGGCGUAAAGGGUGCGUAGGGGGUUUCUUAAGUCAGAGGUGAAAGGCUAGGGCUCAACCGUAGUAAGGCUUUGAAACUGGGAAGCUUGAGUGCAGGAGAGGAGAGUGGAAUUCCUAGUGUAGCGGUGAAAUGCGUAGAUAUUAGGAGGAACACCAGUGGCGAAGGCGGCCUUCUGGACUGUAACUGACACUGAGGCACGAAAGCGUGGGGAGCAAACAGGAUUAGAUACCCUGGUAGUC
rnacentral:rRNA from 1 species